AUGAGAAGAUAAGCCUCAAUGUCUAGAAGCUCUACUGACAUCCAUGAAUUCCUGCCUCACAGGCAAUCCAUUCGUGGUACUCAGUCUAGAGUUUACAAAAGAGAAGCUGAACACAUCAUGGAAGGCAUAACUCACUGGAGGACUGUCACAGUGUACCCAGACAGCAAGAUCUGCAUGCUUCUCUGAUCUGUGCUGAUGGUGGCCAUUAAUCUGCUCCAGACAUCUUCUUCCAUCUAGGAUCCAGGAAAAGGCCAGCCCUUCUUUACAGCUUGCCAUUAUCAAACAGUGGAGAAAUGACCCACGUUGAACAUCAUGACAAAGCCAGAUUUAAAACCAUCAUGUUGCAUUAUAAUGCCAAAUCCUGCGGCACACAGUGUCAGAUAAAAGCACAUUUGUAAUUUUUCCAAUCCAGGAAUCUCAGAUGUGCUUAUAAAUAAGCAAUAAAUAAGCAACUUCUCGGAAGAUGCAUGACUUUAUCUCUUCAUUUAGAAGUCAGAGGAGAGUCAGGCAAGGAUCCUAGCAAGAAUCUGCAGGAAUAACAAAGAUAUGAAGAUGUAAGCUGUCCUCCAACUCCAUGGAACUCAGCCUUCUGGUCUACUGUAUGUGCAACACAUCUCUGCUGGAGCAAAGGGAAGCGGGUGCUACCAUAUUGGAGAACUCGGACUUGCUUUUCUUUUCGCUUUAAUGAAAGUACACACAUAUCCACA